CUGACUAAAGAGUGCCACCAGAUGAGAGU
rnacentral:piRNA from 1 species